GGAAGGGUGCUGUGGCAGAUGGCCAGCAGCAGCUGGAAAGGCCAGCCACAGGCAACAGAAAGCAGGGCCCAGAGACUGGCCGCUGGGCUGAGGAGGACAGCAGUGCCAGGGCGUCCCUUACCAGACUCUACGGUUGCAGCUGGGCUGUGACAGGUGGGAUAAGCCAUGGAUUUCCCAGGAGAGACUCCAUGGCUCUGAUGUGGACCUUAUGAGUUGGAGCAUGCGGGCGGCCACGUGUGCAGUCAACUUCAUGCAGGGCACUAGGCCAUGGGCUCCCCAGAGCCGGCAGCCCCAGCCCAAAAGCCAAAGUCUCUCUAGGAUUCAUUUUGUUUUGAAAUGCAGCUGGAGUGGAGUUCCAAGGCAUUACUCAGGCACAGCUGAGAAUGAGCGGGACAGAAGUGGGCCGGAGACGCGUGUCUCCUGACACCACCGCGGCCCCUGCAGGCCUUGGUAGUACUUUUGUCAUGGCUCCAGCUUGGCCCUGGCCAUACCCAUGCUGCCAGUUCUUCCCUGUUCCUGAGGCUGCCUUCCUGUGCUGUGGUUGUGUCCACUGCACUCUAUCUGCUGCCCAGUGUGGUGGCUAAAGCAGCAAGACCUGCCCUCUGAAGAAGGCCUGGCCUCUGCACACACAGCCUUGGCCUGUCUCCUCUCCCCGCGCCCUCCAGGCCUUCCUACCUGCCGAAGCUGCUAUCAUCAGUUCCCUGGAGUUGAGGUAUGUGUCUCAGAUCCUGAGUUGCCUGCAGUCCUGUCUCCUUGUCAAGUGGGCAGGCUGAUUUUUUUUUGGGGGGGGUAGGGGAGGGACAGUCUACAAAGAACCAUUAGCGCUUUGGGUGAAUGAAUGCUACUUCAUGUGACCCAAUGCCAACGGACUUUAAUUCAACUUAAUUAUUUGUGAGAAUCCCUUUUAGAAGAAAAUAUCACAAGUUCUUUGACAUGAAACUGGAACCAGGAUAUGACUGGUGUCCACUGGGCCCUCUUGCUGUUGACCCUCACUGGCCCCGCACAGUCCUGACUCCUGGCUCCAACAAUGAAGGCAGCCUUAGGUCUCCAGGGCCACUGGCAUGCAGCCAGAGGUCUGAACCACACCAGUGCUUCAGAGUCCAGUGUCCAGAUGCUGAGAAGGGAAGGUACACGUGAACUGGUCAGUCUGCCAUGUGGACGCAAAGGGAAAGCCGUGGGAUGACGCCUGACCACAGGGUAGGCUGACGCCUGACCACAGGGUAGGCUGGGAGCAAAAGCAGGUGAAGACCUGGAUACUUUUUAACAUUUAAACUUUUAUUUAUUUAAACUGACAAAUAGAAAUAGUAUAUAUUUAGCAUGUGUAACAUGUGGCUUGAAAAUAUGCACAUAUUGUGAACUGGCUAAAUCCAACUAGUUCAGGUACCUGCCUUGUUUCAUGGUGAGAGCUCUUGAAAUCGGCUCUCUUGGCAAUUUUCAAGAAUGCAAUACAUUGUAUUCAGGUGUUGUGGUAUAGGUUUUUGAACUUAUUCCUCCUAAUUGAAACUUUGUAUCUUUUGGCUGAUGUGUCCCCCUACCCCGCCCCAGUCCCUGGUUACUACCUUACCACUCCACUUCUCUGGGAUCGAGAUUGUUGCAGUCCACACAUAAGUCAGGGCACAUGGCACUUGUCAUCCUGUGUCUGCUCGUCUCAUACCCUGCUAUGGCCCUGAAACUCUCUUAGAGUUUGCUUUCCUCGUGAGGCACAGAGGGUGGGAACAACCUGACCCUGGCGCUUGGGGGUGGGGACCCGUGAGAGGGGGUUAAAAUCAGAUGAGACCAUCAGGGUGGAGCCCCCAUGGCCUUGUGAGAAGGGGAAGGGACCAAGGAGACGUACACCCACUCCAUGAAUCCCAUGUGGCACCUGAGCCACCACGGACUCUGUCAGCAAGAAGCCAUCAUCACUAGAACAGUGAGCCAAAAUUAGCCUCUUUUCUUUAUAACCUACCUAGUCUGUGGCAUUGUGUUACUAGCAGCAAGAGCAAACUAAUAUGUAUAACAUAGUGCCCUCAAGGUUCAUCCUUGUUAUUGCAAAUGACAAGAUUUCCAUUUUUUUUUUAAGGCUGAAUAGUACUCUGUUAUGUGAAUUACCACAUUUUCCACCUAAAAAUUCUUUAAGUACAAAUACUGAGAACAUCCACCCAUCUUACAUCCCUUCUAUAAGCCACAGGAUGGGAAGAGGAGGUCAUCUCCUCACGGGUGAUUGCCAACUGAGUGCUGCAUGCAGGGCAUCUGAGGAGGACUGCAGGUGGACAGUACUCUGGACACAGCAGCUCUGUCUGGUCACUUGACACAUCCAGGGCCCAGCUUCCUGGUUGAGGAAUGAGGCAGAAGACCCACACAGACCCACAGUGAGCCAGAAGUGUUCUUGGUUAGUCCAUGCUGUGUGAUAGAGUGUCACCAGCCAGGGCAUUUUUGAGACUCAGAGCUCUGGAGGCAGGAAGUUCAAGAUCCAGGUACUGGCUUCUGGUGAGGACAGGUGCCCUGUUCUCCCACAGGGCCCAGGGUGAGAGACGGCCCGUAGUGGGAUCAAGGGCCUGGAUGCACUGUCCUACAGCCCACCCAUCCUGAGGCACUCCCCAGGCAGAGCCUGUGCAGCUGGCCCCCUUGCAGGCCCAUCUGUCCCUGCCAUGAAAUCUGCCCUGUCAGAUUUCACCAUGCCCUUGGAAGGGCAGACAUUCUGACUCAGGGGGUUAGUGGAGCCUACUCUGCAGAUGGCCUAGGAGGUAAAGGAAAGUCGAUGUCCACUUCAGUGUACCCGUGAUGGCCACACGAUGGCCACCAUGACAGACCUGCAGGAGCAGGAGGAGACCACAAACUUUCAGCGUGGAGCUGAGCACAUGGGCCUCUGACAAGACCGGAGAGCCCGGGGACCAGGCCGCGCAGGAGCUCCCAGGACAGCAACCCUGAGCCAGGGCUUGAGAAUCCACAUUCACCUGGAGAGGUGAGCUGGCCUGCGUGGCGUGAGGCAGGCACAGGAGCGAGGCCCCUGAGGAGAAGAGGCCGAGGGAGCCUGCCUUCUUGGAGUUCAUGGCCAGGCUCACUGGACUUCAGAUAGAGACUUCUCAGGGUCUUACGGUCCAGGCCCCACCACCCCUGCAGCAGGUGAGUCACAGGCACAGGCCAGUGACAGUUGUGGGCCUGUGACAGAAGCAACAUGGCAGGGACAGAAGUGCUGAUUCCUAGCAGGGAGGCCCUGGGGACAGGCUGAUUCUCUUCAAAUACAAAACACAAAAAAGGAGCCACAGGGUUGUUGUCGAUGAGUGAGCAGCAGGACUGGCUUCCCCCGCCAAAACCUUCAGGGAGGCACUAGACCACAGAGGCCCUUGGGUAAGGCUGGGCGGUGGCCCAGUGGUGGAGCACCAGCUAGUGUGCGAGGCCUGAGUCCAGUCCCCAGCACAGCGCAUCAGAGCUCAUUGAGCAUCUUCGUAUUCUAGAAAAUGAACAGGAGCACAAAGUGAGAUUCCAGGGGGAGAUGGCCGGUGGUGAACUGCGCUGUGGAGAGGCCCACGUGGAGGACGCCCCUCCUGUGCACUGCCGCACAAGCUGGCCUUCAGGCGAGACCACAGCCCUGGCUGGCACUCUGGCCUGUGAGACCCUGUUCUCCAUCCACAGGGAGUAAGCUGAAGGGUGUGCUGAGCACAUUUGAGGGAGAAGACCAAGAUUGGAAAGUACCUGCUACCCUGACGCCCCAAAACCUGGCGUGAUAUUGGCGAGUCCUGUUUCUCCAGACACAGGUAAGGGCAUGGGGUCUGGGGAGACCCAGGCCCUGAGCACAGAGGACACCAUGGCUGAGCUGCCAAGACUGGAUUCAUAGGCUUAGGACAGGGGGUCGGGGUGUGAGCCCCACAGGAGCUCAGGCUGCUUGUUCAGGACAGGUGAGGGAGAAUGGAGGAUCCUAUCUGCUGGUCAACACCACCCAUCCCCA
rnacentral:lncRNA from 1 species